UUGAGACGGGAAAAGAACCACUGAAAGAUGGCAAGCUUUUAGGAUCCAGGGCUGAAUUUCAAUACAAAACAGGCCAUGGUCCCCAGAAGGCUGCUGCGGGAGCUAAACCCUUCUGAGGGGUCUGGUGAAGGUUCCACAGGUUGAUCUUACCUCCAGGCCCCUCAUUCUCUUGAAUAAGUGAGAGAAUUAAAAAUCGGAGUGUACUUCCCCGGGCUGGCAUCUGAAAUCUCUCUGCAGAGUCGCUAUUCACCUUAACCGUGCUCCUGGGGCCCCCUGCCACCUCCCUCCCUACCCAACUUCCAAGACUGCACCACGACUCUGCACGGAAAGAGUGGACUUUGCCUUUUCUAAAUGAAACCAGGAUCCAUUCGGGCUUGUGAUGCUGCCUUCUUGUUAGGACUGCACAUCUGUGACGUGCCUCCGAGUCACUCAUGAGUCAGACCUUGCCACACCCUCCUGGUCUAAGGCGUGAUUACUGAACCAAGGGGGCCAAGAGGACACCAUUUCCCAUCGGUAGGAACUCCCAGGCUUAUGACUCUUGGAAUUGUGUGGUCUGGUCUUUAAACGAGACAAUGACUAUCAGGUUCUUGGUACACAGUAUCUGACACACGGUGGUGAUGGUGGUGAGACAGACACCUGCAUGGUGCAAACACCUCUGCACACGGUGCUCAGCGUGUGACGGAGCUAGCUAAUCACCCCACCUUCUGAGCACUUCUGCACUGACCUGAGCCGUUCACAUUGCAUCAUCUCCUCGAAGUCUCCAAAGGAAGGGUACCACUGUGUCUCCACUUUCCAGAGGAGAGAACUGGAGCUUAGAGGUCAAACAACCUUCCCAUUUCACAGCCCCUACAUGGAGGACUCCAGGUACAGUGACUCAGCAGAGGGCAUUCCACUGGCUUAUAUGAACUGUCCGGAAAACCCCACCUGCCUGCGGCCAAGACCCUUCUGCGCCCUAGGAGUGGAGUGGACGUGUCUGGAGAAACGGAGGGAAUCUGAAGCUUUGGAUCCUGAGUCUAACGCUGCUACAUGGGGCCAUAAUUCACAAACUACCUCUGUUUCUUUCCACGCCUGUCUCAUGCCAGGCCUUGCACUAGCCCUGGAGAUACAAAGAGAAACCAGAUUGGCUACCCUCUGGGCAGCCAUCCCAGGUACCGGCAGGCCACAGCAGGCCUGCCCUGGGGACCCAGAUGCUGACCUCUGGAGAUGUCACUGUUGGCCAAAAGAGGUGCUUUCUCUCUUUUUAAAAAUCACUUCCAGUCGUUAAAUGAAUAAACAGCUCUAAAACACUUAGGAGAUAAGACACUCUAUCAGGACUCCCGUGAUCUUUCAAAGCUCAAAGUGAAAAUGCCAGCAGGCCUCGGCCGACUGGCUGUGGGAAAAGCAGAUAGCCACCAGUUUCACCGGCAACAAAGAGACUGAAAACCCUGCACAUUUUUAGGAUGUGACUAGAAUAAUCCACAGCUGGGCCCCAGCACAAAAUGCAGGGUAAUAAAGCAUGCAGGGAACAGGGGCAGCCGGGGCCUUCGUUAGCACUGAGGGAGGCUCGCUUGGCGCCUGUAUUAUUAAGCCUUUCAUGCAGAUCACCUCAUUUAAUUUCAUCGAGUCCUCACCACAGUGGCCAAGAGCUGGCUUUGGAGUCAGUCUGCCUGGGUUACUCUCAAUAUUCACUCCCACUCACCCUCUCACCCCUUCCCUCCUGGCUGGGUGACCUUGGGCACCUUGUUUAACCUCUUCAGGCCUCAAUUUCCCUGUCCCUAACACUGGGAUACUAGAACCCACCUUACAAGACUGUUUUAAACAUUAAGUAAGUAAAUCCACAGGAAGAACUUAACUUAGGAUCUGGGACACAGUCCUCAACAAGUGGUAGCUUUUGCUGUUGUUACGCUGAUCGCGGACAGCCCCGUGCCUGGCUGUGUGUCAUCUCUUUAUUUUACACUUGAUACACCUGAAACCUCCCAAGGUCAGAACCAACCCACACUUGUGCAGUUCCCUCUCGGUACUGAUGCUCGUGCCCAGCUCACCACACCACCUCCCCACGAAGCCUGCCUCCAAGCCAGAGGCCUGCUGAUUCUUUGGGUCUUGCCAUUAGGAAAUCACCUCCUCAGUGGGAACCCACCUGGGGGUCUUUCUGUGGAAGCAGACUGCAAGCCAACCACUGGAAAUGCGUGCAGGGCAGACCCGAGGCCCGUGAGGUGCUGAGACACCUGAGGAACCAGCGGUGUCUGAGAGCAAUUUGUCUCCAGCUGUCCUGGUUUCUGUCUGUUUCCUCCUCUGAUCCAAAGGGGCCUGGGGGAGGGCAGGAUGCGCAGGGGCUGACAUCCGGGUUACUCACACGGAGGCCGUCUUCUGGCCACAGGCCGCCCCCUCCCUGUGGCUUCUCGUGCACCUCUACACACCCGGGGCUCCCUUCCGACGCACGGUCUCAUCACGAAGACAAACGGGAACUUUGUGGUGGGCUGCUUCCUCUACCCGGAGCCCUGGGCCCCAGCUUGUCUGCCACAGGUGGAACCCAGGGCCUCACCCUUAAGGGUGAAAGCUGCCCACGCCUCCCUCUGUUCCUGUCACACCUGGGACCACAGGCCCCAGCACAGGUUUCCGUGAGUCGUUCAUGGAAAACAAAUGACAGGCUGCCGGCGUUAGAGCAGCAGAACGAGACCACAGCCCGUGCCCACAGGGGGUCUACGAUCUAAGAGGAAAGAGGUACGGAUCAAGAAAUGCCACCGAGGUCAUCCCACGUCUAGAUUCAACACAGCACUCAGAAUUAUCCUUCCAAUAAAUACCUCAGAUCACAUCCCCCAAUCUCUCUCAGAGUCCAAGGCGAGACCUGAAGAUGUCCUCUCAGUCCCUACAAGGCUGCCCCAGAACUCCUCAGAUCUUACUGCUGUGUGUCCUCACUGGAACUCAUCAGGCCUGAGGGCUGCCAUGCAGGCUGUCCCCUCUGACUGGAAUAUUCUUCUCCCAUUUUUCCACAGGGCAAUAUCUCUCCCCUCCCUCCAGCCUGCGUUUAACAGCCAUAAGACCCACCCUGAUUACCCUAUUUCAAAGUCCAGCUUCACUCCCCACACCCCUGUGCCUCCAAUCCACCUUACCCUGCUCAUUCCCCCUUUCCACCUUCUGGUGUAUACUUCCUGUGUUUACUGUGGACCAUCUUCCCCUCUCCCGCCAGCCCCACUAGGAUGCAAAGGAAAGACAUCUGUAUGUGUUUUAUUUCCUGACAUGUCCUGAGCACCCAAAACAGUGUCUGGUACGUCACAGGCACUUGGUAAAUAUUUGUUUUGUUUUGUUUUUUUUAAUAGAUCUUCAUUGGAGUAUAAUUGCUUUACAAUACUGUGCUAGUUUCAUACCACAGGGAGAUCAGCUCUGUGCUUUGCCAUGACCUAGAGGGGUAAAUAUUUGUUGAAUAAGUGAAUGAAUGAGUGAAUGAACAAAUGAGUACCAUGAGAGCGGAAGCAGAGGGUGCUGUGAGCACUCAUAGCAGAAGAACUAAUUCCAUCUGGGGGUCAGGGAAAGCCUUCCCCCCCCACCCCCCAGAGCCUCACGGGGUACAGGGGAAGGGGAAAAGAGAGGCACGGGGAAGCUUCCUGACGGCCAGUCCUACCUGAGGGAGGGUGAAUGCUGCUGACCCUUCCCCAGAGAGAUAAUUCCACCUGCAGGGGGGCAACACCCAGGCCCGACACUGGCCAUCCAAGGUACUUCUGGCUGCCUUGGGCAUCUCCGCUUCAGAGCCUGAAGAUUCCAUUGGAGAGAGCUGCUCUCUGAAGCCUGGAUCUCUAAAAGCUCUUAUCACCCAAAUCCCCACUGAGGUUUCUCAAGUCGAGGAAUAAAACAAGUCUAACCCUGGCUGUGAGGUGGAAGGGCAGAAUGGAAGCAUGCAACAGAAAAUAAAAAUAAGUGACAUUUAUUGAGAGCACAUUGUGACCCUGGCACUAUUAUAAAUUGUUAACCUGCUUAAUUACUGAUGAAUUGUGCGCCUCCAGUAUGGUGAUAGGUAGGUACUAACAGGACCCACCUCACAGGGUGAGCUGUGAGGGAGGCAGGAAUUAAUGGUAUGAGGUACACAGAACACACACAGAGGGCUCUUUACUUGUUUGCUACUACGUCACCAUCCUCAACUUACAGGUGAGAAAACUGAGGCACAACGAGGUGACAGAACUUGGACCAUCUUCCCCCACUAACCAGAGACCAAGCAGGAUGCAAACGCACGCCGCCUGGGCUCAGGGCUGAUUUUCUCUACCCUAUAUUACACCUUUCCCAGAAAUCAGGCUCCUCACAAAACACUUCUUCUUAAGGGACAGAGAGGCUCCUCUGAGCAGAGUUCUUUCUGAAAAUUCAGUUGUGCUUGGCCUUAUUUGUAGAAAGGUGGCUAAAAGAUCCAGCGGCCAGGUAUGGCUGAAAAGCCCAGGACCCACCAGCUCCUCCCAAGACUGUCCCCACCAAGUGUCUGGGGGAGAACCCUAGCCCUUGAUGCUGCAGACACAGAAACACACAAACCCCAGGAGAGGAGAGAGGUCUUCCUCAUCCUGGGACCACAAAUGUCAGUCAUUUAUGGAUUGGUCUUUGCUGUCGGUUCCCGGCAAUGUGUGUCCACCAGCAGCCAGCCACCCCCCACCGCAUACAAAUGGCAGUGGAGGGGCUGAGGGGCCGGCUGGGAGCCCAGGCUUCUGGUUCCCCCAGCCCCAGCACGCUGAGUCGGAUGCCCUCACUACCUCCUACCUAAGGCUGCUGCCUCGGUCAUACCCACACCCUCGGGAUCAGCCUUGGUGUGGCAGACUCCUCACCGACACACUGGAAGCCAGAAGCAUGGAAGCCUUACUCACGGCCCAGUACCCCAAGCAGGACUGGCACAAGCCCCGGGGAGGACUUGAGGGGUGUGGGCAGGGUGUGCUGGACCAGUCGGGACUUCGAGGGCCCAAGCACAGGAGCCACCACCUGGUUCUCCAUCCUUAUCUCCCUUCCUAAAAGGAGAGGAUUCUGUUAAAAUGAAGACUCUUCAGCCAAACAAAAAAAAGUAAGAAACCAGUCAGGGCAUCAGGUGGGCUUCUCAAACAAGUUCAACAAGAGUGGCCGAGGUUAGGCAACCUCUUGUCCAAUCUGCGACAAAGGGGCCUUUGGUUUGUUUUCUGGAAGAAGAAUCUGGUCUCCCUCCACCUUCUUCUCAGUAUUUGCAUAGUGAGCCAUCCCAACUUGCUUUGUACCCUCUUACAACAGAAAACCCCACUUACUUCUUUAGGUUGUGUGUUUUUUUUUUAUAAAGCUCCUAUUGAUAUUACACAAAUGAUAUUUCUUUGUAUUCACACUCGGAAGGCUCAACAGAUCACUUUUUUGCCAGAAGUUCGGUUUCUUAAAAAGUUGGGCCAGUGUCUCCUGUGUAAAUCUGCCUUGGCCCGUUGACCAGUUGGUGCUGUGGCCGCUGACAUCACAAGCUUCUGAGUGGGCUUCUCCCACCACCACUGCCUCUGCUGCCCUCAACAGCUCCGAAGAGAAGCGCUACAGAUCCAUCCACUGAGGAGCUAAGGCCCACCCGGGGCCGCAGAGCAGCAGAAAUCUUAGCAAAGCAGCGACUUUCACCACCGAUGUCAGCAAAGGCUGGCAGCGACUGUGCAUUACUGAAAACCAGAUGCCCUGCUAAGCACUUCACAGGCGUCAUUUCAUUUAACCUCCUAACGACUCUGUGAGAAAGGCUAUUUUUGGUACUAUUUUGUACAUGAAGAAGUAGGUUCAGAGGUGUAGGGGAGAAAGAAACUUAAACUGGAGCAUCUCAGUGCUUCACGCUGGGCCAAAGGCACGUAUGUGCUGAUUGCAUACCCAAGCACGGGGGGAAAAGAGCCACACCUGGGGCUGGGGUCCUGCACAGCUAGGAAUCCGCUGUGGAAAACCCCACAUUUAUACAAAGGGAAUGCCAAGGAGUAAUGGUUCAUUCUUUCAAAGGGUUAACUGCAAGUUUCCUCUAAAAAAGAGACUUCCUCACUACCUUCAAUUACAACUCCAUUUUCAUUCCACUUUCCACUCCAGGACACGGUGACCCAAAGCAGGAAUGAUUAAAAAGCAGAAUGUGAAGCGGAAUUGCAGCCCAGUCCGCUUC